rnacentral:rRNA from 1 species
CCUACGGGAGGCAGCAGUCGAGAAUCAUUCACAAUGGGGGAAACCCUGAUGGUGCGACGCCGCGUGGGGGAAUGAAGGUCUUCGGAUUGUAAACCCCUGUCAUGUGGGAGCAAAUUAAAAAGAUAGUACCACAAGAGGAAGAGACGGCUAACUCUGUGCCAGCAGCCGCGGUAAGACAGAGGUCUCAAGCGUUGUUCGGAAUCACGGGGCGUAAAGCGUGCGUAGGCUGUUUCGUAAGUCGGGUGUGAAAGGCGCGGGCUCAACCCGCGGACGGCACAUGAUACUGCGAGACUAGAGUAAUGGAGGGGGAACCGGAAUUCUCGGUGUAGCAGUGAAAUGCGUAGAUAUCGAGAGGAACACUCGUGGCGAAGGCGGGUUCCUGGACAUUAACUGACGCUGAGGCACGAAGGCCAGGGGAGCGAAAGGGAUUAGAUACCCGGGUAGUC